GGCUGGGUGGUUCAGUUGGUUGGAGCAUUGUCCUAUACACAAAAGGUUGCAGGUUUGAUUCCUGCUCAGGGCA
rnacentral:tRNA from 1 species